rnacentral:rRNA from 1 species
GUAAAUAAUUAAGGGCGUAUGGUGGAUGCCUAGGCUCUCAGAGGCGAAGAAGGACGUGAUAAGCUGCGAAAAGCUCCGUUUAGGUGCAAAUAACCUUUGAUGCGGAGAUCUCCGAAUGGGAUAACCCAAUAUGUUGAAGACAUAUUAUACCGUAAGGUAGGCAAACGCAGGGAACUGAAACAUCUAAGUACCUGCAGGAGAAGAAAACAAAAGUGAUUCCCCCAGUAGCGGCGAGCGACCGGGGAUAAGCCCAAACCGUUAUUGUUUCGGCAGUAGCGGGGUAGUAGGACUGCGACAUUGAUGAAAUAAAUGAAAUGGAACACCUUGGAAAAUGUGAUCACAGAGGGUGAUAAUCCCGUACAUGCAAGUUUAUGAAUCAUAGCAGACUCCUGAGUAAGUCGGGACACGUGUAAUCCUGACCGAAUCCGCCGGGACCAUCCGGCAAGGCUAAAUACUCCUGAGAGACCGAUAGUGAACCAGUACCGUGAGGGAAAGGUGAAAAGCACUUCGAACAGAAGAGUGAAAUAGUCCCUGAACCCAUACGCCUACAAGCAGUCGGAGCCGCUUCGUGCGGUGACGGCGUGCCUUUUGCAUAAUGAGCCUACGAGUUACUCAUCACCAGCGAGGUUAAGUACUUCAGGUACGUAAGCCGAAGCGAAAGCGAGUCUGAAUAGGGCGUCAAGUUGGUGGUGGUAGACGCGAAACCUUAGUGAUCUACCCAUGGGCAGGGUGAAGGUUUGGUAACACAAACUGGAGGCCCGAACCGGUAAACGUUGAAAAGUUUUCGGAUGACCUGUGGGUAGGGGUGAAAGGCCAAUCAAACUGGGAAAUAGCUCGUACUCUCCGAAAUGCAUUUAGGUGCAGCCUCUGUUGUUUUGUUCUAGAGGUAGAGCUACUGAUUGGAUGCGAGGGCUUCACCGCCUAUCAAAUCCGGCCAAACUCCGAAUGCUAGAACAUGAAGACAGGGAGUGAGCCAGCGGGUGCUAAGGUCCGUUGACGAAAGAGGGAGAACUCAGACCAUCAGCUAAGGUCCCCAAUUAUAUGCUAAGUUGGAAUUAAAACGGGGUGGGACUGCUUAGACAGCUAGGAUGUUGGCUUGGAAGCAGCCAUUCAUUUAAAGAGUGCGUAACAGCUCACUAGUCGAGCGGUCCUGCAUGGAUAAUACGCGGGCAUAAGCAUAUAACCGAAGCUAUGGGAUUGUAGAUGAUACAAUCGGUAGGAGAGCAUUCCAUUCAGCAUAGAAGCAGUACCGUGAGGUAUUGUGGAGCGGAUGGAAAAGCAAAUGUAGGCAUAAGUAACGAUAAUGCGGGUGAGAACCCCGCACGCCGAAAGAUCAAGGAUUCCCCGGCAAUGUCAAUCAUCCGGGGGUAAGUCGGAUCCUAAGGGUAAGCCGAGUGGCGAUCCCGAUGGCAAACAGGUUAAUAUUCCUGUACUGAUCAUAACUGCGAUGCAGCGACGCAGAGGUGACACUGCUGCGUACUGACGGAAUAGUACGUUGAAACCCGUAUUCUUUGAUACCGGUAGUGAAGCACGCCGGUAGAGAUGAAAGGUGAUAGUACCGCAAUGCUUCGGUUGCGCGGAUAAUGCAGGUAAGCUGACUGCCAAGAAAACCUGCUAAGCUUCAGGUAAUGAUCAUCCGUACUGUAAACGGACACACGUGAUCAGGUAGAAAAUACUAAGGCGCUCGAGAGAUUCAUGGUUAAGGAACUAGGCAAAAUGGUCCUGUAACUUCGGGAUAAAGGACGCUCUUGUGAAAGAGCCGCAGAUAAUAGGCCCAGGCGACUGUUUACCAAAAACACAUGGCUAUGCUAAUUCGCAAGAAGAUGUAUAUGGCCUGACACCUGCCCGGUGCCGGAAGGUUAAGAGGAGAGCUCAGAGGCAACUCGAAGGUUUGAAUUGAAGCCCCGGUAAACGGCGGCCGUAACUAUAACGGUCCUAAGGUAGCGAAAUUCCUUGUCGGGUAAGUUC